AAAGUUGAAAAGAACUUUGAAGAGAGAGUUCAAGAGUACGUGAAACCGUUCAGGGGUAAACCUGAGAAACCCAAAAGAUCGAAUGGGGAGAUUCAUCGUCAGCUCAUUUUGUAUAUAUAUGAGUUAUGAUGUGGGUUACUACUUGUAGUAUUGCCUAUACAUUCUUAUACAUUUAAUUGCAAGAUGUUGUCGGCGUGCACUUCUCCCCUAGUAGAACGUCGCGACCCGUUGAGUGUCGGUCUACGACCCAAGUUGGUAGCCUUUAAUGAUUUUGUAAAAAAUUUCAUUAAAAACAUUUGGUGUUUUCGGACCGACUGCUUGGCGGUAUUCAUAUGGUAUUAAGCCGCAUAUUUUUAAUAUGCGUCCAUGCCCGUCGCAAGCGCGGCCAAUUUCUGAUANUACGGACUUAGCGCUGUCGUUGGUAUUGGCCAGCUGUUGGUUGUACGGUGUUCUAGGACUGGCUUAAAUUAAUUACCUGUCAGCGAUGCUACUGCUUUGGGUACUUUCAGGACCCGUCUUGAAACACGGACCAAGGAGUCUAACAUGUGCGCAAGUCAUUGGGUAUUUUUUAAAAAUUAAACCUAAAGGCGCAAUGAAAGUAAAAGUUAAUCUUGCAUUAACUGAGGGAGGAUGAGUUAUAUUAAGAUAUAGCUCCGCACUCCCGGGGCGUCUCAUUCUUAUUGCAAGAA
rnacentral:rRNA from 1 species